rnacentral:rRNA from 1 species
CCUACGGGUGGCAGCAGUGGGGAAUAUUGCACAAUGGGGGAAACCCUGAUGCAGCGACGCCGCGUGAGUGAAGAAGUAAUUCGUUACGUAAAGCUCUAUCAGCAGGGAAGAAAUACUGACCUUACGGUCAGCAGACGGUACCUGAGUAAUAAGCGCCGGCUAACUACGUGCCAGCAGCCGCGGUAAUACGUAGGGGGCAAGCGUUAUCCGGAUUUACUGGGUGUAAAGGGGGCGUAGACGGUAAGCCAAGUCAGAAGUGAAAUGGAGCCGCUUAACUGCGGGAAGGCUUUGGAAACUGGAGAACUAGAGUGCUGGAGGGGUAAGCGGAAUUCCUAGUGUAGCGGUGAAAUGCGUAGAUAUUAGGAGGAACACCAGUGGCGAAGGCGGCUUACUGGACCGUAACUGACGUUGAGGCUCGAAAGCGUGGGGAGCAAACAGGAUUAGAUACCCUGGUAGUC